CGUGGCCAGGCCGAGCUGAGUUCUUCGCUUGUUGCUCUGACGUCGGCGUCCUGCGUCCAUUCCAGGGAGGCCAGGCCGCCUUCGCCUCGUCGCCGCCGCCGUCUGGAGGACAGGCGCGCGCACCCAAAAGAGAUCGACCACCAAAUAGUCAAGAGGAAGGACCUUCUCCACGACGAAUCUUGCCCUCUCGGCCUCCUGCUGGGCCACCUGCUUCAUCUCCACAGCCUCUGUGAACUCCUUGCCAAACGUCAAGUGUGUCUGUAAGAACACAAACCAGUUAUUACCUACGUUAAACACCCAACAUACACAUGCAACAUAUGGACUAAAACGAGGAUGGCAUUUAAUUUUCCAAAGGUGCCAUGAGAGAAACUGGAAUAGUUUAGGUUUAUUUAUUUAGGACUAUUUAAAAACAGUGUAAGGAGGGAAAAGAAACCGAGAAGGGUUUUACAAGAUUAGACUCCAAUCAGAGAAUCAUAUCAGAUAUCCCAGAAACAAGUAGGACACCAAAAGAAAAGACAAUAGAAAAGGUAUGUUAAAAACAAAAACUUGAAUGCAGUAUACGCAAUUUCAAAAGAGAUAAAAUUAACCAAUGUGAACAGGACAUGGUUAGAUGUGUUUUCAGUGACUUUUUAAAGCCGGCGUAAAUUGGUAUCGAGUUUUGAUCCUCGAAAUGACAUUUUAAUCUGGCAAUGUGACAAUAGUUCAUAAAUGUUAAUAAAAAACUAAUACAAAGUGAGCAGAAGGAUUGAUCAGGGGACAAGCCUUUUUCAGAGUACCAAUUGUCAUAGAUCUAUUGGUUAUGAGGUUAACAUGGAUGUUCCAAUUUAGACUUUCAUCCAAGACAAUACCCAGAAACUUAGUAUGAGAUACGAGUGUGAUUUCAGCUCCAUUAAUUAAUAUUUUAGCUUGUUCUUUUAAGUGUGAUGCAUUUUUACCACAGAAUAUCAUAUAAUUACAAUUUUUAACAUUAAGACUUAGGUUAUUAAUCCGAAGCCAAUUAAAAGCAGCUGAUAAAUCAGUGCUUACAAAUUCAAUAAGAGAUUUAAAGUCUAACAGCGAGUAGACUGGUAUCAUCGUCAAAUAAGAAGGGGAGAAGAUUAUGGCAAGACAUACGCAGGUCAUUAAUGCAAGUUAAGAAUAAUAAAGGGGCCAAAAAUUGAUCCCUGUGGCAUCAGAGAAGAAAUUGUACAGGGCAACGCCAACACGCUAACCUCAAUUGUGUGACAUAUUUUAUUGUACAUCGGCCCCUGACUUAAGAGUAAGUUAACGUAUGUGUUUUUCCAGAUAUGAGCCAUAGCUCGGCUAAUUUUCUGCUUUGACUUGCGGGCAAAAAUGAGAGAUUCAAGCACUAGAUGUUGGCAGAAAACUCAACUCACUUCAGAAGAAGCAGCAGUUUGGCAAAUAGUGCACAAUUUUUGGGGGGGGGGAAAAAAAAAAAAAAAAAAAAAAAAAGAGGCUUCAAGCUGGUUACUGCCACUUCCAGUUGGAAUUUACUGUCAAACUAACCAUCAAACAAAAAGAAUUACGCAUCAUGUAUUUAAAAUAAUAACACAACUUUGCUUUAGGGAACGUUCGCUAGCUUAAUGCUAACACACAAUACUAUGAUGUAGACUGCGGACUGACCCCAAACCAGCGAUGUGUGUAGGGAAAAAAAAAAAAAAACGUUUUGUGUGUAUGUGUAUCUGUUUGACUUUGUAUUAGAUGUACAAUACAGCUUAUGUGUCCUUGCCUGUACACCCUAUCAGUCCUCUUAAACACAUCUGCAAAAAAGUACAUCAGGUUCAACCUAUGGUAGUGUGUGACAGAUGACAGGAAGUUGACAGCUGUCAAGUGUCAAAAGUAGCUAGCAGCUAGCGAUCACAGCAGUUACACACUACUAAACAUUGAGUGGGGGUACGAGGCAAGAAGACCUGCAAUUUUCACCCUGAAAUGGGAGGAAGAGUAUUUUUUUGUUUAUUCUCAGUCAAAGCCUGUUUUUUUUAUGUGCAAUGCAAUUGUGGUAUUGGCAAAGAAAGGGAAUCUGGAGCGUCAUUUUAAAACAGCACAUGGGAGCUACGAGAGGGAUUUCCCGUCAAACACGCCUUUAUAAAAAAGUGUGUGAUUUCUAAGCACAGCUUGCAGCACAGCAGUCAAUCUUCAUCAUACUGAAGACCCAGGGUAAUUCCUCAAGCAUUGCUUCCUAUCGCGUCAGUCACGCCCUUGCUAAUUAAAAGAAGCCAUUUGAAGACGGUGCUUUUGUGAAGGAAGUCUCAGAAGAUACCCUUUUUGUCAACUUUCAAAAUAAACAAAGAUCGUGAAAUUCAAACAAGUUCAACUCUCCCGCAAUACAAGGCGACAUGAGGGUGUGGCUGUAAAGGUGCAACUGAGGAAGGAUACUGACAGUGGGUCCAUGGUAUACAAUGGAUGCAGGAGUGCAACAUUUCUUCAUACCAGUGAAACGUCAUCCAAGAUGAGGCCGAAGGUGGAGGCUCUUUCUGUGAGGUCCUCACUGACCUGGCGAGAGACAAGCUCUCUCUGCGUGAUGAGCUCGCAGGCGUCAAACCGAGCCUUAAAAAGAACAACCCAUCACAUUCCUCGCCAAUGCUGGUGAAGAUGCGUGGGAGCUGCGUGCUCACUGGCCGGAAGAGGAUACGCAACGUGAUGUUGACAUUCUGGAGAUCUGUGGGAGGGAACGAUCUCAUGUCAACCUACAGGGGAGGUGAAGGCUACACUGAAUCCAUAUAUUUUUACAUUUAGUGUAGGGCUAACGACUUACCUUUGCUUCCCUGUGAUGACGGGCACGUUUCGGGGACGGGAGCGACAGUCGAACAUUAUGGGCUUCUGCACCCAAGGGAUGAUGAAGUGAGUGCCCUCGCCGACCACUGCUUCCUGCACGCCCCGGAACCUGUCGAAUAUCACCGCCUGGUGGCCUGCAUCAACUGUCACAGGAAGAAGAGGGGGAGUUAUUUCCCAGAAGUUUUUUUUUUUUUCUAAAUGUUUUGAGAAUAAUUCUUUUUUGAAAAACAUGCCUUAAAAGUAAAAGAAAACCACCAUUAUGAGAGAUGGCAGCAAAUCUUAUUAGACCAGGUCAGUGCACAUCGAAAAGAUUAACUGUUUAGGCUUACUGUGUGUUUUGUGGAUGCCAGUACAGGGAUGGCAUAGGGAAAGUGGGACGAUACCAACAGAAAUGGAAAUAAAACUUUUUGUGACACAGGUUAUAUUUAUAUUGCAGGUGCGAGUGCCCAAUUCUGAUAGAAUGCCUAUAUCCAUUUUAUUUUAUUUUACUGUUUAGUGUCAUGUACAUUUCAAGUGACAUAUCCCAUAUGGCGGUGUUUACAUUGACGGAAGACAUGAAACAACCCGCAUGUGCAGACACCCAAAUAAGUCCAGAAGCAUCAACAUGAAAGUAAACAAUAAUUAUUAGGCUUGUCCUGAUCACCUUUUUUUGUACCAGAGUACAAGUCGAUGUUGAUUAAGUCUUGAUUUUGAGUAUCUGCCAAUACAGAGUCCGUUCCGAUACCUUGGCAACGCAAGCUUUAACAUAGUAUGCAAGAUUCCGAUAUUUGAGUGCAUUUGAUUUCUUCCUUAGUAAACAAUACAUCCACUAUACAUAGUUAUGACUCAAUGCAGGUGCGUGGUUGGUGGGUGAGUGCUCGACUCCUCUCAUCUACAAACAACCCUAUUUAUUGAAUUGCAUCAUCAAAUGCAACCAGUGGGGCACAAGUUUACCUGUCAUCAGCGAGUUGUUUGGCCACACUGUAUAUUACAUUAGACUUCACAAGCUUAGUUUAUAGUAUCUUAUGACUUGCUCUAAAUGUCUGCUGUGUAGACAAAAUGUUUCCACAUCUCACUUCAUGUUCCUUUUUUCAUAAUGAGCUUCAGACAAGUGUGAAGGCCAUAUUUUGAGGCCUGAAUCUGAUCUGAAGAUACUCGUGUUUUUUUUUUCUUUCCAUAUUCGCGCUGUCAUGACACAUAUUCCGACUGUGCCACUUGGGAGCCCAAAAAAUAAAAAUCAAAUAAAACAUU